rnacentral:misc_RNA from 1 species
GAAAUGCGAUACGUAAUGUGAAUUGCAGACCGUGAAUCAUCUAAUCUUUGAACGCAUAUUGCGCUCCCUGGUAUUCCGGGGAGCAUGCCUGUUUGAGAAUCGAUAAAAACACUUGAUCCUUGUGAGCUAGACUAUGUUUAGUGAACUUGGUUCAGACUUGGGCGCUAAUCUUUGGAUUAUGCCUUGAAAAUAUCGUCGACUAGAUCAACUCUGCCUAGACUGAGACGUGUUUACUUGAUGCUUGCAUCAUUAUUGACGCUUCACCUGGGACUUACAGACUUGGAAUAGGCCUCAACACAACCUUCGGGACCACUACUUAACAGUAUAACUUGGUCUCAAAUCAGGCAAGAGUACCCGCUGAACUUAA